rnacentral:rRNA from 1 species
CCUACGGGAGGCAGCAGUGGGGAAUAUUGCACAAUGGGCGCAAGCCUGAUGCAGCGACGCCGCGUGGGGGAUGACGGCCUUCGGGUUGUAAACUCCUUUCGUCAGGGACGAAGCGAAAGUGACGGUACCUGGAUAAGAAGCACCGGCUAACUACGUGCCAGCAGCCGCGGU